AUGGCGGCUGCGCUGCGGUUGAGGGCGCAGCGGUGCAGGGCAAUAAGUCGUGGCGGCGAGCCGGGCGCGACCGGUGCGUGUUAUGGGUGCGCACUGGACGCGUCGGGCGCGCGUACGAGCGUGUGGUUGACGUUGGGAGGAGGAGUAUGUCGCCGUUGUGCUCGAGUCCGCGCUCAAGUUCGGCUACAUCCUUCUGGCGUUUGUCGCUGGCGGCUGCCAUGGCGGACGAGGAGGCGGCGCGCGGUGAGCGUUUGGUGCGGUCGGGCUCGUCGGGCGCGCCGGGUGCGCGCGGGACGUGCGGGACGCAAUGGUGUGGUCGGGCUCGUCGGGCGCGUCAAGUGCGCGCGGGACGUGCGGGGCACAGAGGGACGCCAGGCGUGUGUCGCCGACGGAGAAGGAGCUCGGCGUGUGUCGCCGGAGUCAUGA
rnacentral:rRNA from 1 species